CUCAGAACGAACGCUGGCGGCGCGUUUAAGCAUGCAAGUCGAGCGGCAAGGGCCUUCGGGCCCCUAGAGCGGCGGACGGGUGAGUAACACGUGGACAAUCUGCCCCCCGGCCCGGGAUAGCCCAGGGAAACCUGGAUUAAUACCGGAUGAGACGGGACCCGCGAUGGCGGGACCCGGGAAAGGCGCUGCGGCGCCGCCGGGGGAUGAGUCUGCGUCCCAUUAGCUAGACGGCGGGGUAACGGCCCACCGUGGCGACGAUGGGUAGCCGGCCUGAGAGGGUGGACGGCCACAUUGGAACUGAGACACGGUCCAGACUCCUACGGGAGGCAGCAGCUAAGAAUCUUCCGCAAUGGGCGAAAGCCUGACGGAGCCGACGCCGCGUGAACGAAGAAGGCCGUGAGGUUGUAAAGUUCUUUCGGGGAGGGGAACAACCGUGGCAGGGAAUGGCCGCGGGAUGACGUGAACUCCCGGAAUAACGCCCCGGCUAACUACGUGCCAGCCGCAGC
rnacentral:rRNA from 1 species